AUUAAUCAGUCCGGUAGAAACCUCAGUCAAACAAAACUGAGUUUCUUUUUUCAAUUUUAUUAGUCUAGUCCGGUAUUGUUUUUAACCGUAAUUGAUGAGUGAAACCGACCCAAAACCACACGACACAAACUCGGUUACUAAAUCUGAAAUGCUUUACUUACUUGAACACGACUGCCGAGCAUGAUCUGAAAUGCCUCGCAACCCUAUUAAACAACACCCAACCUAGAUUGAAAAAUGUGAUUAACGUUGGGAAACUUUAUGAUAACUCACUUCUAUUAUUUGCCCUUUGCUCCAAAAAAUGUGAUUAAUGGUGGAAUAUGCUUGUUAGGUGAAAGUGCUUCAGAAGUUUUUGCUAGAUUGAAACGAGACUUGAUUCCUACAUUAAUCACUGGUGUUAUGUACUGGCCUUUUUUUCAUUUCAUCAUAUUCAGAUUCAUUCAUGUUUGUUUGCAAGCCACUGGUGAGCAACUCGUGUACGUGCGGUUUAAAUGAACUUGCAAAUGAAAGGGAUGCUAGACAAGAGUUGGAGCAAAGAGUGCAAUAGAUGGAAAAAGAAAAGAAGAAAGAAGGCAAAAAUAGUUUGAAGAGUUUAUGAAAUAACCUCCUGUUAGUCAUUAGUGGUAGUUCUCUAAUUUUUCCGGAUCUUUAUGUUUAACAAUGGUGGUUUUGUGAUUUCAGCGGACUUGGAAUUUUUGUUAUCUAUUCCGGAUCUUUAUGUUUAAUAAUGGUGAUUUUGUAAUUUAAAUGUGCUUCGAAUUUAUGU